GAUGAAACUCACUCCACUGCUGCGGGAGAUUUUUGCUGUGGAUCUUUAUUUCUCAUAUUAAUAUUCUGGAUAUUUCUACAUCUCCUUUCAUCACAGUCUCUCGUGAUCAUUGAUAUCUGAGAGAAUCGUGAUGAGAUGAGAUACAAAUGAUUCGAGGUGAAAUGCAGAAACCACAGACAAGCAAAACAAGAAUACAUAAAAAUGGAGCCUGGAAAUGAAAUGCAAACCAGCGGGGAGAAAAACGGACAAAUACUUGCUAGAUGUGACAGUAUGAAGAGAAGAAAGCCAAACUUCUCACAUGAUCCACAUGGACCUGUAAAGCUUUAUUCAGGUUUUCUCAAGAACACACAAACUAACAGAUGAAAACCUGAACAUCAUCUACACAGUCCGUUCAGCUCUUGGACUCUUACACAGCUUUUUCAGACUCAUCUGAUCACAAACAGACUAACAAACCGAUUGAGUCUCAGAUCUGUGUCGCGGCUGGACUCUCGUUCUCCUACAGCAAUAACUCUGUUGCUCUUCCACAAACACUUUCCCUGCCUUUGAUCAUAAACCUGUAUGUUUCAGUACAUACAAAACAUGCUGGUUCAUCACACAGUCAUACAA